AUUGAACGCUGGCGGCAUGCUUUACACAUGCAAGUCGAACGGUAACAGGCCGCAAGGUGCUGACGAGUGGCGAACGGGUGAGUAAUGCAUCGGAACGUGCCCAGUCAUGGGGGAUAACGCAGCGAAAGCUGCGCUAACACCGCAUACGAUCUAUGGAUGAAAGCGGGGGACCGUAAGGCCUCGCGCGAUUGGAGCGGCCGAUGUCAGAUUAGGUAGUUGGUGGGGUAAAGGCUCACCAAGCCAACGAUCUGUAGCUGGUCUGAGAGGACGACCAGCCACACUGGGACUGAGACACGGCCCAGACUCCUACGGGAGGCAGCAGUGGGGAAUUUUGGACAAUGGGCGCAAGCCUGAUCCAGCAAUGCCGCGUGCAGGAAGAAGGCCUUCGGGUUGUAAACUGCUUUUGUACGGAACGAAACGGUCCUGGUUAAUACCCGGGGCUAAUGACGGUACCGUAAGAAUAAGCACCGGCUAACUACGUGCCAGCCGCCGCAGUAAAAC
rnacentral:rRNA from 1 species